UUACCUUUUUAGAAGCACGGAAGGAUGGGAGGGAGGGAGGGAGAGGGGGAGAGAGAAAGAUUUGUAAGGCACUUGCAUACUCCUGGCUGAGUUCCCACUAGAGGCCGGCAGCUCCGACGCGGCGGCAGCGGGGCGAUCGAGGAGCGCUUCCUGCUGCCACUCCACAGCCUGCUCCCCACACAUGGAGGCGUUCUGCUCGCGUGUAGCAUUUCUUUUUCAUUUCUACCAUCCACUCACCGCAGACUCAAGCUCCCAAACUUGCUGAAGGGGGAAGAAGCAGAGUCGGCGGAGAAGGAGGAGUUCUGUUAGUGGUUCUGCAGAAGGGGAGGAGGAUUGCAGCAGGAGGGGGGGGGGGGGGCACGUCACGUCUGCCGGCUGUUUAAGGAAACCCAAACCGUUGCAUCUAUCCGAGUCUCCACGGCAACAUGGGGGACAGGAUGCUCUGGCAAGGUGUCGCUCCACACAGGCCAAGAGGAACGCCGCCGCACGCACAAGCACGCAGCUCGCCGGCUUUUUAGUUACAACAAUCGGUUGAGAGUCCGCACAUCUUGGAGGAUAGAAAGAAAAAAACUAAAUAAAUGUUGUGAUCCGAGUUGUUUCUAAAUGAUGUGGCAGUGCAGCGACUGAUUAAUGAAGAAUACAAUUGGGUAGCUUCUUUUUUGUCAUGAUAUACAUGUUGGUGGUACGCGACAAGUAAAAUAGCUGCCAUCAAUCAAACAAACCUAUAGUCCCUCCUGGUGCCCACGGUGAACAUUCAACGCUGUCGGUGAGUUUGAGCUUUGACCAAAACCAUCGACCGUUGACUGUACCCUGAGGGACGCCACAACAAACAGUUCAUUCUGCAACCGGAGUCAGUGGAGCACAGAAGGCUUUGACCUUCCAUCCCAUCAGGUCCGCUAUGACACAGGAAGUGUCACUAUUAAGGCUGCAGUAAACAUUCAUUGCUGUCGGUGGGUUUACAUGAAAAUAGCUCACUGAUCAAUGAAUGCAGACUGCGGUUCAAACACCUCAGUGACCAGUAGGCCAGGCCUUGGAAACGGGACUCAUUUAAUGGGGAGCAGAGUACGGAUGUCACCGCACACGAUCUUCUAGCAUUGAAAUUCAGAUGUCCUUUCAGCAUUUAGAGUCCACGGUGUUGCGCUUUUUUUUUUUUUUUUGGGCUGAAGGGUCAGUUCAGCCAAAUUACUUUUUUUUUUUGCAACCAUUCAGGCGUUGGAACUGGAAACUGUUCACAGUAAGUCUGCAGAUUAUCCAGGUUAACAAGGUCUUUCAUUUCAUAUUUCAUUCUGCAAAGAUGACAAACCAAAUUCCAUUCAACUGUUCACAACUAUCUGCGAUGCUAGAUAUUACGAAUGGUAGUUGAUCAAUUUAGAAUUCUAGUAAAUCAUUUUCUACCUUACAUCCAGUGGCGCGACAGUUUAUAAAAGUCACUGUUUGGAUCGUACCACGGAAUCACAGAUCAGCACAAAAGAUACAGCCGCUAAUCUACAAGGAUCCAAACAUUGGUCAUUUUACUUGUUAUCUUCAUUCGUUUUUUUUCUUCAUAAAAAACAUCUUUGAAUUAUAUGAAUAAACUAGCGUUUUCCAUUUCAAAACCAACCGUGUCAUGGGUCGUUUUAAGGAUGAAUUCAAAUCUGGAUAAUUAUUAACAAUGGCUCUAAAAUGGUGUAAACGGGUUAUAAUUCCUCUCCAAAAUCGUUGUUAACGCAUCUCUAUUAAACUACUGCAUUUAUUGUAGUUUCUCAUCGAAACUACAAUUUACAUGUGAACACAUCUUGGUAGUGUUAUAAUUGACCUUUGGCCAAUACUGCCUCUGACCAACAGAGCCUGAAGGCAUCACGAGAUGAGAUCUAUUUACCAGCUAAUAUUAUCAUGGAAGCAGAAUUGCUGAACUAAAUGUAAAUGUCAAUAAAUCUUUUCUUCACAUGGGAUGGUCAGUAAGGAUGAGUAUGGGAUUAUUGUGACUGAACUAUGUUUUAUGAACGGCACACUGUGGUGGUGACGAAGGUGCGUGAGACGUUACAGCAGUUCAUAGUACGUAUGAAGUGAAUAAAUACUAAAACUCAACACCAAA